rnacentral:tRNA from 1 species
GGAGAGGUGGCUGAGUGGUCGAAGGCGCCGCACUCGAAAUGCGGUGUACGGGCAACUGUACCGGGAGUUCGAAUCUCCCCCUCUCCGCCA